rnacentral:lncRNA from 1 species
UGGAUCAUGCAGUGUCGUAGGAUUGAAUAGAAAAACCAUUUGAGCCAAUAGUUGCUACAGUGGCAAAAUCCCAUACCACAUUUUAAAUUAUUCAUAGAAAAUGAACCUCCAAUGGACAUGGUCAUCGACUUUGAAUCACAUAAUCUUAGCCCUUAGCUUCCAAUAACUAGCCUCUUCCUCACAAACUUUAUGGGGUUUAUUUGGAUGAUCACAUCAACUUUGGUGGAAGUUGCAUAAUAGAUCUCCACACAAAAUAGAGAAUUCAAGGGGAAUAUGAUGUUAGCUUUUCUCUACCUUCAGAUAAAUAAUGUUGUUGCUUGUUCCAUUUUCCGAGAUCCAUAUGCAAAACCUUUGGGUCAACAGAGUAGCAACAAUAAUGAAUGGAUGGAUGGUGUGAACUCUAAAGCUUGUAAAAAUACCCAAAUAUCCGACACUAGCAAUCAGUCAUUCUCUGUAGGUUUUCUAGCCUGCAUGAUUUGGUGAGGGUGUGGAGAUGGACAGGUGGAUGGUUGGAUGGUGUUGAUGGUAGUGCAAUGGUUGAGGUGUCGGCCAUAGGAAGAUGACACAAAAUGCGAAUAGUCAUAUCUACAGGGAUAUACACCUUAAAGUACGUUUUGCAAAUAUAACAAAGGAUGUCUACAGUUGGUGGAAUCCAAGUCAAAGGAUGUCUACAGUUGUGAAUAGUCAUAUCAGUACUACUUUACUUCUAAAACAUUUGGUGGAAUCCAAGUCAAACUGUUAGACUUUUACAGUUGUUUUCUGGCCCACUUUUGAAAUGGUCAAGGACUUUGACUCCCAUGUCAUCCGCUCGUCUUAAAUAAAAGCCAACUGACAUCUGAAGUUUGAUCUGAGACGUGGGCUAUCCUUCAACCAAGCACCAAAAAUUUCAUUGACUUGGGCCUUUGACUUGUCAAAUGGGAAAACGUUUGAAGUGUGUCAUCAGUGAUGGGAAAACGUUGAAGUUCACAGUGAGUGAGCUUGAGCAAGGCUGUCAUCUUAGAAACCUUGAACCAAACUCGUAGGUGGGGACUACUACACUAAGUGAUCUUGAAAUUUUCAUUUAAAGCUUCCCAACAAGAAAGCGGAAACACUUGGAAUACCACCUAAAUAUUUUGACCCCAAUAAGUAGAAAAGAAUGACUAAGUUACAGUUGUACUUAAUAACAUUUUAAUUCAUAGUCAAUUAAGGACUGCUACUCAUGAUUUAUAUUGGGACAUGCGUUGAUGUUGAGAAAACUCUGCUGACAUUAGGUACUGAUUUGAGACGAUCUCAUACAUCAAACCUCACUGAAAUUGUAGUUAGGUAUGUGAUAGAGCUUAUAUAUGAAAUCAUACAGUUGCACGUUGAUGUUUACAAGGAAAAAAUCUAUAGUUCAACUUUUGAGGGUAAAAGACAUGCAAAAAAAGAGAGCAAAACAAAAACUAAUGGUUUGAGACGAGAUGACCAGAUGAUUAAGGCUUAAGCAAGUAUUGAAGAUGAAAUGAACAAAUCUAGCUCAACAAAAAAAGGUCCACUGGUUUUGAACAUAUGUUGGGGAAGGGCUGGAACUUGACUUUAACUUUUGGAUUUCUACAUGAUCCUAAAUGGAUGGUUUGCAUUGAUUGGAUUAAAAACAACAGCUGACAAGAAUAGACAGAAUAUAUGACAUAUUAGGGGACGAGAACCAGAGGAUUUAUACUAGAGGUCAGGUGAAGCCUAUUGACACUGUGCAAAUUAAGGAUGAUUUGGAAUCCACAUAUGGGCAUAGGACUUCAUUUUAAAUUAUAUUGUUUAAUUUACAAUUCUAGCUCUUGUGAGAUGGAAUACAAUUAAGCUUCGUAAUAUUGUGUUCAGCUAAAUAAUAAAACGAACACAGAAAUCAUUUCUAAGCUCGACUGUAGCUGAAACGUGAACAUCAAUCCAA